AUUAAAGCACAGCUUUAAAAGCUAUGAACUUUUAUUUCAGCAUCAUACGGUUCAUCAGCUCUGCAUCAAACAUUCUUCUUCUCUGGCUUCAACAUGUCU